UAAUACAGAGGUCUCGAGCGUUAGGCGGAAUCACUGGGCUUAAAGCGUGUGUAGGCGGACUGGUAAGUACCUUGUGAAAUCCCACGGCUCAACCGUGGAACUGCUGGGUAUACUGCUUGUCUUGUGCAACCUAGGGGCGAGCGGAACAGAUGGUGGAGCGGUGAAAUGCGUAGAUAUCAUCUGGAACGCCAAUGGUGAAAACAGCUCGCUGGGGGUU
rnacentral:rRNA from 1 species